GACGGAGGGUGCUAGCGUUGUUCGGAAUCACUGGGCGUAAAGGGCGCGUAGGCGGCCAAGGAAGUCGGAUGUGAAAGCCCGGGGCUCAACCUCGGAGGUGCAUCCGAGACUCUUUGGCUGGAGGCCGGAAGAGGAGGGUGGAAUACCCAGUGUAGAGGUGAAAUUCGUAGAUAUUGGGUGGAACACCGGUGGCGAAAGCGGCUCUCUGGUCCGGACCUGACGCUGAGGCGCGAAAGCGUGGGGAGCAAACAGG
rnacentral:rRNA from 1 species